AAUCAACGCUGGCGGCGCGCUUAACACAUGCAAGUCGAACGGGAAGUGGAGCAAUCCAUGAGUACAGUGGCGUACGGGUGAGUAACACGUGGGUGAUCUACCUCUUAGUGGGGAAUAACCCUGGGAAACCGGAGCUAAUACCGCAUAAGCCCGAGAGGGAAAGUGGCUUUGUGAAACAGAGCCGCGCUGAGAGAGGAGCCCGCGGCCGAUUAGCUAGUUGGUAGGGUAAAGCCUACCAAGGCAGAGAUCGGUAGCCGGCCUGAGAGGGCACACGGCCACACUGGCACUGAAACACGGGCCAGACUCCUACGGGAGGCAGCAGUGGGGAAUCUUGCACAAUGGGGGAAACCCUGAUGCAGCGACGCCGCGUGAGCGAU
rnacentral:rRNA from 1 species